rnacentral:misc_RNA from 1 species
GAAAUGCGAUAAGUAGUGUGAAUUGCAGAAUUUAGCGAAUCAUCGAAUCUUUGAACGCACAUUGCGCCCCUUGGUAUUCCAUGGGGCAUGCCUGUUCGAGCGUCAUUUCAACCCUCAAGCACUGCUUGGUGUUGGGCGUUUGUCCCGCCUACGCGCGUGGACUCGCCUCAAAGUCAUUGGCAGCUGUUCCCCUUCGGCUCGUAAGCGCAGCACAGUCGGCGCCCGGAGCUCUGGUGGGAUGGCGUCCAGCAAGCUAUAUUUUCAGUCUUGACCUCGGAUCAGGUAGGGAUACCCGCUGAACUUAAGC